GGGUUGUGAGGUUAAGCGACUAAGCGUACACGGUGGAUGCCCUGGCAGUCAGAGGCGAUGAAGGACGUGCUAAUCUGCGAUAAGCGUCGGUAAGGUGAUAUGAACCGUUAUAACCGGCGAUUUCCGAAUGGGGAAACCCAGUGUGUUUCGACACACUAUCAUUAACUGAAUCCAUAGGUUAAUGAGGCGAACCGGGGGAACUGAAACAUCUAAGUACCCCGAGGAAAAGAAAUCAACCGAGAUUCCCCCAGUAGCGGCGAGCGAACGGGGAGGAGCCCAGAGCCUGAAUCAGUGUGUGUGUUAGUGGAAGCGUCUGGAAAGGCGCGCGAUACAGGGUGACAGCCCCGUACACAAAAAUGCACAUGCUGUGAGCUCGAUGAGUAGGGCGGGACACGUGGUAUCCUGUCUGAAUAUGGGGGGACCAUCCUCCAAGGCUAAAUACUCCUGACUGACCGAUAGUGAACCAGUACCGUGAGGGAAAGGCGAAAAGAACCCCGGCGAGGGGAGUGAAAAAGAACCUGAAACCGUGUACGUACAAGCAGUGGGAGCACGCUUAGGCGUGUGACUGCGUACCUUUUGUAUAAUGGGUCAGCGACUUAUAUUCUGUAGCAAGGUUAACCGAAUAGGGGAGCCGAAGGGAAACCGAGUCUUAACUGGGCGUUAAGUUGCAGGGUAUAGACCCGAAACCCGGUGAUCUAGCCAUGGGCAGGUUGAAGGUUGGGUAACACUAACUGGAGGACCGAACCGACUAAUGUUGAAAAAUUAGCGGAUGACUUGUGGCUGGGGGUGAAAGGCCAAUCAAACCGGGAGAUAGCUGGUUCUCCCCGAAAGCUAUUUAGGUAGCGCCUCGUGAAUUCAUCUCCGGGGGUAGAGCACUGUUUCGGCAAGGGGGUCAUCCCGACUUACCAACCCGAUGCAAACUGCGAAUACCGGAGAAUGUUAUCACGGGAGACACACGGCGGGUGCUAACGUCCGUCGUGAAGAGGGAAACAACCCAGACCGCCAGCUAAGGUCCCAAAGUCAUGGUUAAGUGGGAAACGAUGUGGGAAGGCCCAGACAGCCAGGAUGUUGGCUUAGAAGCAGCCAUCAUUUAAAGAAAGCGUAAUAGCUCACUGGUCGAGUCGGCCUGCGCGGAAGAUGUAACGGGGCUAAACCAUGCACCGAAGCUGCGGCAGCGACGCUUAUGCGUUGUUGGGUAGGGGAGCGUUCUGUAAGCCUGUGAAGGUGUACUGUGAGGUAUGCUGGAGGUAUCAGAAGUGCGAAUGCUGACAUAAGUAACGAUAAAGCGGGUGAAAAGCCCGCUCGCCGGAAGACCAAGGGUUCCUGUCCAACGUUAAUCGGGGCAGGGUGAGUCGACCCCUAAGGCGAGGCCGAAAGGCGUAGUCGAUGGGAAACAGGUUAAUAUUCCUGUACUUGGUGUUACUGCGAAGGGGGGACGGAGAAGGCUAUGUUGGCCGGGCGACGGUUGUCCCGGUUUAAGCGUGUAGGCUGGUUUUCCAGGCAAAUCCGGAAAAUCAAGGCUGAGGCGUGAUGACGAGGCACUACGGUGCUGAAGCAACAAAUGCCCUGCUUCCAGGAAAAGCCUCUAAGCAUCAGGUAACAUCAAAUCGUACCCCAAACCGACACAGGUGGUCAGGUAGAGAAUACCAAGGCGCUUGAGAGAACUCGGGUGAAGGAACUAGGCAAAAUGGUGCCGUAACUUCGGGAGAAGGCACGCUGAUAUGUAGGUGAGGUCCCUCGCGGAUGGAGCUGAAAUCAGUCGAAGAUACCAGCUGGCUGCAACUGUUUAUUAAAAACACAGCACUGUGCAAACACGAAAGUGGACGUAUACGGUGUGACGCCUGCCCGGUGCCGGAAGGUUAAUUGAUGGGGUUAGCGGUAACGCGAAGCUCUUGAUCGAAGCCCCGGUAAACGGCGGCCGUAACUAUAACGGUCCUAAGGUAGCGAAAUUCCUUGUCGGGUAAGUUCCGACCUGCACGAAUGGCGUAAUGAUGGCCAGGCUGUCUCCACCCGAGACUCAGUGAAAUUGAACUCGCUGUGAAGAUGCAGUGUACCCGCGGCAAGACGGAAAGACCCCGUGAACCUUUACUAUAGCUUGACACUGAACAUUGAGCCUUGAUGUGUAGGAUAGGUGGGAGGCUUUGAAGUGUGGACGCCAGUCUGCAUGGAGCCGACCUUGAAAUACCACCCUUUAAUGUUUGAUGUUCUAACGUUGACCCGUGAUCCGGGUUGCGGACAGUGUCUGGUGGGUAGUUUGACUGGGGCGGUCUCCUCCUAAAGAGUAACGGAGGAGCACGAAGGUUGGCUAAUCCUGGUCGGACAUCAGGAGGUUAGUGCAAUGGCAUAAGCCAGCUUAACUGCGAGCGUGACGGCGCGAGCAGGUGCGAAAGCAGGUCAUAGUGAUCCGGUGGUUCUGAAUGGAAGGGCCAUCGCUCAACGGAUAAAAGGUACUCCGGGGAUAACAGGCUGAUACCGCCCAAGAGUUCAUAUCGACGGCGGUGUUUGGCACCUCGAUGUCGGCUCAUCACAUCCUGGGGCUGAAGUAGGUCCCAAGGGUAUGGCUGUUCGCCAUUUAAAGUGGUACGCGAGCUGGGUUUAGAACGUCGUGAGACAGUUCGGUCCCUAUCUGCCGUGGGCGCUGGAGAACUGAGGGGGGCUGCUCCUAGUACGAGAGGACCGGAGUGGACGCAUCACUGGUGUUCGGGUUGUCAUGCCAAUGGCACUGCCCGGUAGCUAAAUGCGGAAGAGAUAAGUGCUGAAAGCAUCUAAGCACGAAACUUGCCCCGAGAUGAGUUCUCCCUGACUCCUUGAGAGUCCUGAAGGAACGUUGAAGACGACGACGUUGAUAGGCCGGGUGUGUAAGCGCAGCGAUGCGUUGAGCUAACCGGUACUAAUGAACCGUGAGGCUUAACCUUACAACGCCGAAGGUGUUU
rnacentral:rRNA from 1 species